UCUGCCCUGAUGGAGAUAAAUCAUCCCCUCUUUUAGUUUGGAAAUGCCUCAAGGACCUCAGUUUCUGCUUAGUCCCAUAAGUGGCUACACUUUAUGAAAUACGUGUUGUCACAGGAUUGACAAGUGCUAUUAUAAAAGUAAGAAUUCAUGAUGAUGCAAUUCUGCAAAGACUGUGAGUCAAAAUUACCAACACUUUUGGAAGGGCUAUUCAGAAGAAAGGCCACCAAUUUAUCACCUUGGGAAUCACAGAAACAGCCAACGAUAAGGUGUGGAAUUCAGAUGAUGCACAGCAGGAAUCCUCAAGGUGGGCUCUUUGCUCCCAAGUGCAAUGGGCUGCUGGGAUGGCUCUCUGAGGGUCAUAUGUCUGGAGCCCCAGUUUUCCUCCAAUGAAUGGACUCCUCAACUCUUCUCUAUGUGACGUAAGGGCCUCGACUUCUUUACACAGACCCCUGUGUGGUCUCCACAUGGUCGGUUUCAGCAAGGGCUAUGCAAGUUCCUGACAUGAGGAAUGAAGAAAUUCUAAUCUGGACCCAAAGCUAAUACAAUUAUAAAUACGAAUAGUCCUUAAAAUGUCUAUUAUUUCAUCUGUUCAGAGAAAAUUCAUAAGCACAGACCAAAAUCUA